rnacentral:lncRNA from 1 species
GAGCCCACAGACAACAGGGCUUGUCUAACACUCCGCUGCAGGGCGCUCGAAGGGAAGAGAACCAGAAAGGGCGAGUUAAAGAGACAGCGAAUAAAAACUGCUCGCGCGGCGCGGUGGCCGCCGCUGGCGCCCAGAACCUCGGACCCGGGAACUGGGGGUCGUGGGAGGGCCGAGGGGUCUGGAGGUGGCUCUGAGGAAGAGAGCUGUGCUGUGCGUUCCCAACGAAAACAGCCCUCGCUUAACACACACUCCCAUCUGCCAGACACUUGAUGUUGAGGUUCCCCUUCUCGGUAGCUCUGGAGAAAAACUAAUACCCCCACACACUGUUUUGGGUUGCUAGUAAGCCAGCAGCGGCCACUGAGAUAUUUUCCCCUUGUAAAUGGUGUAACUCUUUAGGGUAACUUUUCUGUCAAAAUGUUUCUUCUAUUUCCCCAGCCAGUGAAGAGUAAACACGCAGCAAUUAUCAUUAAACUGCAUUACUUGAGAGAGCGUGUUUAAUAUCAAAUUUCUAACUGUGCAUUUGGCUGUGCGUUCAAUGGUCUCCUUCCAGCCCAUCAUUGAGUUCCCUAACUGCCUUUCUAACCGCAGCUUUAAAGGGCCUCUGGAACGUUCCAGUCUUGCAUAUAAAGAUUCGUUUCAAUUUUCAAAUUGCCUCUAAAUGCCUCCGUUGGAAAAUGGCGCUUUAAGUUGUUUUACGUGUCGGAGACAGAAUACUUAGGCUUACACUCGGGGCACCAAACGCAAAACGCUCAGUCCUCCCAGAAAUCCACUGAAGUCUAUUCCCAUUUUCCAUAUGAGAAAACGGAGGCUCUAAGAUGUUAAGACGUUCAUCCAAGGUCACACACACAGCUAGUAAAUGAGGAAGUCUGGAUUCCAACCCAGGUCUUUCUGACUCUAACAGGUUUUCUUUCUCCCCCCUUCCCUACGUCUGAUUUCAUAUCAAAAUGCCCACCUUUCCCCAAAGAGGAAGCCACUGGGUGAGGAGAACUACCCAAGACUGCAUAAUUUAUAAAGGAAAGAGGUUUGAUUGACU